CCUUGUUUACUGUCCUAAAGAGAAAGCAAUAUCCACUUGAGUUUGAGCAUACAACAUGUCAAGAAACUACAGACAAGAACAAACCCAGGAAAUUAAGAAGAUAGCCCAGUAAAAUGCUGGAAUACAGAUGUGUUGCUGACCAGCAAGCUCUGACCUUGUAUGAACAAAUACAGUAUCUAAAGGGAUGGAAGAGCAACCCAGUCAAAGGAACCGACUUCCUGAAUAAGCCUGCAUUCUAGAGCCACCCCAGCUCUGGAAUGCUCAUACCUAACUGUUCCCUGGAGAAAUGCCAACUUCUCUCUUGUUUGAAACACUGCAUUUUGGAUUUUUUUUUUAAUCAGUAUGAUCUGUAUUCUAACCAACACAAUGAGUUUCAGUCUCUUCUCCCACUCUGCACACCACUGGUUCUAUUUGAAGACCUUCUUAAUAAGAUGAAUAGAUUCCUAGUGAAGCACACUCUUUCUACUAAAUAUAAGAUUCACUUUGUCUCAUACUGGGUGUUCUGCAGCCAGACUGCUUGAGUUUGUGUCUCAGCUGUCCUUUUACUUUCUAUAUGUGACCUUGACAAUGUUAGUCAACCUCUCUGUGUCUCAUGUUUCUCAUUUGUAAAAUGGAGAUUAAAAUAGUUUCUUCCUUCUCAGGUUGUUGGGAGAUUAGAUGAGAAUCUUAGUCUGUUCAGGUAUAACAAAAUAAUAUCAACUGGGUGGCUUAUAAACAGUAGAAAUUUAUUUCUCAUAGAUCUGUAGGCUGUAAGUCCAAGAUUAAGGCACCAGCAGAUUCACUAUCUGGUAAAGACUGGCUUUCUGGAUCACAAACGACAAUCAUCUCACUGCAUUUUCACAUGCUGGAAGAGCUGAGCAAGCUCUCUGAGGUCUCUUUCCUAAGGGCACUAAUCCCAUUCAUGAGGGCUUUACCACCAUGACAUAAUCACCUCCAAGAAUCCCACCUCCAAAUGCUAUCACAUUAGACAUUAAGAAUUAGCAUGAAUUUUGGGGGAAACAAACAUUCUGUCUAUACAUGCACAAGACCAAGAACAAUAUCUGGCAAAAGUAGGCUAUCAAUAAAUUUCAAAUUUUUUAUUAUUAUUUGUUUCAACUGGCUUUCAUUUUUUAUUAGAUUGUGCUACAGUAACAAACAGUUCCCAAAUCUCAGUGACUUACAACAAAAAAGCUUAUCUCCUUGCUCACCUUGCAUGAGAGCUACAGCUCUGUUUCAAAUAUCUCCUUCUUCCCAUGAUCAGGCUGUUUGAGACACUGGUGUUCUUGUGGAAGAGGUAAAAAAUAUAUAGAUAUAGGAGAACAAUGCAAUAGCUUCCAAGAGACCUACAGAACUUCUGCUCACAUUUCACUGGACAAAGCAAGUCACAUGGCCAAUCUUGAUAUCCCUAGGGUAGAGAAGCAUAACCCACUCACAUAGAGGGGCAGUGAAAAGUGGGAAAUAAUAAUGCAGUCUACCACAUUCUCAAUCUAGUGCCAAAGCUGUGGUGCGUAAAACCAUAUUCUUUGACAGCUGCGAUUUUGCUGGCUCAACACCACACCUUCUUAACUCCCAAAGUGACAAAUGGAGAGGGAGAUGUUUGAUCCAUCUGUGCCCCUGAUUUUCCAUGUCCCUGAUUUUUCUACCCCUGAUUUAAGUGAUCACAACAGCAUUUUAUAUUUUUCCUUUCUUAAUCCUUCCUUCUCCUACAACUAGGGAGGCAGGAGAAAUGGGUUUGAUGGUUUUUAGGCUGCAAGGCCAUAGAAAAACUUUGGGGGUAGAUUGUGUUAUUGCUCUCAACUCUUUACUCUCCCUUUGUACAAAAGAAGUAUAUGUCCUGCCCGUUGCCAUGAAUAUUCAGUGUCUCUUAUGAGAAAAAGAAUACACAGCCCAGUCCUAUUGACAUAGGGCUUGGCCAUGUAACUUGCUUUGGCCAAUAAAGUGGAAAUAGAUAUAACUUAUGCCACAUUUAAACAGAAGCCCUUUGCCAUAAGAGUAGCAUGUUGUAAACAGGGGUUCCUUCACCCUGUAUCCCAAGCAAGUCACAUCCAACAGAAGUGAAGCUUUGUUGCUGCAAACCACAGAGCAUUGGGCAUCAUUUGUUACCACGGCAGAGAGAAUCAAUGUGCCUUUUGAUUUAGCACCACCUGUCAUCGCACACCCACCUCAAUCCUUUGAAGAUGGGAGGUGCAGAGCUCUAUUUCUUGUCCCUCCCUCCCUUAAUGGGCAUCAAGAUUCUUCACAGGGAAAAUGUUCCACAGAGCAUGGGAGCUUAGUUCUUCUGAGUGGCCAGUUUUGCCUCCUGUGGAAAUAGGCUCUUGUGAAUAACACCAGCAGUCGUGUCUUCUUCUCUUCCCCUCCGGUAUCAUACACUCAUAUUCAAUACUUGAUAUCAAAUUUGAUUCUCCCUUGAUUUCUUGACAUACUAAUUUUUUUCUGUUUCCUGCUUGGAUAACUUAUCUCAUGCUCUCCAGAAAUACUUCAUGAACUAGAGCAAAGAAAGGCAGGUAAAAGGGUACAAUAGUGACAAACAGGCAAGACCCUGCCCUCAUAGAGCUUAGAUUCUAGUAGGAAAGACAGACAAGAAAUGAUAAACAAAAACGCAAUGUCAGAUGGUGAGGAGUGCUAUGUAAGAAAAAUAAAUCAAAUAAGGGGAAUAAGAAUGACAGAGUUUUACAUUAGCCUGGGUGGGCUGGAGCAACUGCAUGUGUUAACACACUUUAGCAUGGUACCACUCUGUCCACACACUGUAGACUGUGUCUUUGGCUAAACCACACGAUGUCGCUAGCAAAAAUCCUGAGUGCUGACCAUUUUCAGUAUCUUUAGCACAUAUGGUAUCAGUCACACCUGAGAAUAUCCCACUGUGUUCUACUUGCUGCUUUGAGAACCCCAGUGCUGUCUUCUUUCUUAAUUGUAGACCAAUGUGUUGAUGACUCACCUCAGGUUUGUGUAUUGCAUUGUUUUAAAAUAUUUCUCUUUGUGCCUCAAAUUUAGAAGGGAACUCAAGACAGCAGUGAGGAAACAAGAAAUAGGAGAAAAUAUUUGUUUGCAUUUGGCAAAAGAGAAGCCGAAAAAGAGCCUGGGCUGUUGCGCUUUACAACUUUGCUCCCUUCCUCCACCCCUCGAAUUGGGGUUCAUUUAUAACAGGGAAGCAGCUUGACAAGAAGCAAAUAUGACUUAUCUGUAAUAUUUUAUUUAUUUUAAAAAAGAAAGAAAGACUAGAACCAAAUCUGGCUAAACUUAAAACUUACUAAUUUUGCAUGGUAGAAAGAUGAAUGUUUGCCAUGUGGGUCUUUAUUCCCUUCUAUGUUUAAAAUGUAUCUUUAAAAAAAGGUUCUAAAGGAAAAAGAAGAACAGAAGAUUCAAAACAUUUGACCAGAACAUUUGGUACCAGCCCUUGCAUUACCAUGUCAGUCUAUGUGUCCCUGAGCAAGUUAUUGAAGUUCUCUAAGCCUUGUGAUCGUAAGACCUGUCUUUUAGCAUGUGGUUAUUAAAUUAAAUCAGAACAUGUAUGCAGAACACCCAGCAUUGGACCUAGAUUCAUAUGUUCUUAAUUCAUGGUGGCCACUAUGGCUACUUCCUGAUUUCCCAAAAUGUGUCUGCUACAGUUUUAAAUGUAUAUUCUCUCCGAAAUUCCUGUUGAAACUUAAUCCCCACUGUGGUGGUGUAUUAGUCUGUCCUUAUACUGCUAAUAAAGACAUACCCAAGAUUGGGUAAUUUACAAAAGAAA